GACGAACGCUGGCGGCGUGCCUAACACAUGCAAGUCGAGCGGGGAUUUAAGUGGAAGUUCUUCGGAAUGGAGAUUUAAAUUCUAGCGGCGGACGGGUGAGUAACGCGUGAACAAUCUGUCCCGGACAGGGGGAUAACACUUGGAAACAGGUGCUAAUACCGCAUAAGACCACGGCCUCGCAUGGGGCUGAGGUAAAAGGAGCAAUCCGGUUCGGGGUGAGUUCGCGUCCGAUUAGCUAGUUGGUGAGGUAACGGCCCACCAAGGCGACGAUCGGCAGCCGGCCUGAGAGGGUGAACGGCCACAUUGGAACUGAGAGACGGUCCAAACUCCUACGGGAGGCAGCAGUGGGGAAUAUUGGGCAAUGGGCGAAAGCCUGACCCAGCAACGCCGCGUGAGGGAAGAAGGUUUUCGGAUUGUAAACCUCUGUCCUAUGGGACGAAGGAAGUGACGGUACCAUAGGAGGAAGCCCCGGCUAACUACGUG
rnacentral:rRNA from 1 species